CCGUCCUAGUCGCAACCCAUAAACGAUGCCGACAGGGAUCAUUCGGAUGUUGCUUUUAGACUCCGCUGGCACUUAUGAGAAAUCAACAGUUUUGUUCCGGGGGGGUAUUGGUCGCAGCUGAAACUUAAAGGACAUUGACGUCAAGCGCACCACCAGAUGGAGCCUGACGGCUUAAUUGACUCAACACGGGGAAACUUCCAGGUCCAGACUAGUAAGGAUUGACAGGACUGAGGCUCUAGUCUUGAUUUCUAUGGGUGGUGGUGCUAUGCCGUUCUUAGUUGGUGGGCGAUUUGUCUGGUUAAUUCGGAACGAACGAGACUCAGGCCUGCAACUAGCUAUGUGGAGUAUCCUCAUGGCAGCUUCUUAGAGAGGACUAUGGCCUUUUAGGACCACGGAACGUUUGAUGCAAUAAGGUCUGUGAUGCCUUAGAUGUUCUGGCGCACGCGCGUACAUUGAUGUAUUCAACGAGGUAUAUACGUUGGCCGACAGGCCGGGAAAUCUUUGAAAUUUCAUCUGUGAUGCGAUAGAUCAUUGCAAUUGUUGGUCUUAAACGAGGAAUUCCGUAGUAACUGCGCGAGUCAUCAGCUCGCUGUGACUACGUCCUGCCCUUUGUACACACCGCCCGUCGGCUCCUACCGAUUGAAUGGUCGUGAAGUGUUAGGAUCGUGGCGACGUGGGCGGUUCGCCAUGCCCGCGCACGUUCAGCUGAGACAUUCCACUGAACACUUAUCUUUAGAGGAAGGAGAAGUCGUAAACAAGUUUCGUAAGGUGAACCUGCGGAAGGAUCAUUUGCGAACCCUGCACAAGCGAACGACCGUGAACAUAGUUAACACAUCUGGCCUUGCGGGACGAAGCAAUUUUGUCGGCCCUUGUGAUCCUUGUCGACGUGGCGUUAUCAUGCGUGGACCAUACCUUUUAUGUUUGUCAGUGGAUGUAUGUUGACAAAAUAACAAAAACCCCGGCACGAGAUGUGCCAAGAAACCAAACUUAAAGAACCACGUGCUGGUUGCGCCCCACAGUUCGCGCGUGUGCGCACUGAGUUCGUGGCUUCUUGUAAACCUAAAACGACUCUCUGGGCAACGGAAUCUCGGCUCCGCAUCGAUUUGAAGAACAGUAGCAAAAUGCGAUUACUUUGUGUGAUUGCAGAAUCCCGUGAACCAUCGAGUUUUUGAACGCAAGUUGCGCCGAAGCCUUCGGUUUUGGGGCACGUCUGCGCUGGGGUCACGCAUCACGUCGCCCUCACCAGGCAUUCCCCUAUAGGGCUGUCUUGUGUUGGGGCGGAGAUUGGUCUCCCGUGCCCAUGGCGUGGUUGGCAAAAUAGGGAGUCUCCUCGCGAGGGUGACGCACGGCUAGUGGUGGUAUAAGACAGUCGUCUCGUGUCGUGCGUUAUUUCUUUGAGAGUAGAUGCUCUUAAGUACCUGAUGUGUUGUUCUUAUGCGGAUGCUUCGAUCGCGACCCCAGGUUCGAGGCGGGACUACCCGCCUGAGUUUAAGCAUAUCAU
rnacentral:rRNA from 1 species